GGAUGGAGGAGAAACGGAUUAUGAGAAAGGAGGAGAAAUGCAUUUUGAGAAAGGCGGAGAAGUGGUGGUUAGCACUUUGGAGGAGGAGAAGCAGGUUUCUGGGUUGUUUGAAAGGGCUUAUGGAAAGAUCUCAAAAGUAUGGGAGCGCCCAAUCUCGUUUCUUCUUAAGCUCACAAUUCCACAAACUGCUCCUUCAGAAUGGAGCAGGUUCUACGUAUCUGCCAAUAUAAUUCUUUGUCCUCUAGCACUUCUAUAUACUUGCAACUCAUUCAUGCCGUUAGAUCAUCCCAUAGUGUUCCUCCUUCCAAACACUCAUUUCCCACUCUGGUUCAUAGUACUCCUGGC
rnacentral:misc_RNA from 1 species